rnacentral:rRNA from 1 species
UAACACCGGCAGCUCAAGUGGUGGCCGUUUUUAUUGGGCCUAAAGCGUUCGUAGCCGGCCUGAUAAGUCUCUGGUGAAAUCCUGCAGCUUAACUGUGGGAAUUGCUGGAGAUACUAUCAGGCUUGAGGUCGGGAGAGGUUAGAGGUACUCCCAGGGUAGGGGUGAAAUCCUGUAAUCCUGGGAGGACCACCUGUGGCGAAGGCGUCUAACUGGAACGAACCUGACGGUGAGGAACGAAAGCCAGGGGCGCGAACCGGAUUAGAUACCCGGGUAGUCCUGGCCGUAAACGAUGUGGACUUGGUGUUGGGAUGGCUUCGAGCUGCUCCAGUGCCGAAGGGAAGCUGUUAAGUCCACCGCCUGGGAAGUACGGUCGCAAGACUG